rnacentral:rRNA from 1 species
UACGUAGGGUGCAAGCGUUGUCCGGAAUUAUUGGGCGUAAAGAGCUCGUAGGCGGUUUGUCGCGUCUGCUGUGAAAACUCGGGGCUUAACCCCGGGCCUGCAGUGGGUACGGGCAGACUAGAGUGCGGUAGGGGAGACUGGAAUUCCUGGUGUAGCGGUGAAAUGCGUAGAUAUCUGGAGGAACACCGGUGGCGAAGGCGGCGUCCUGGACCAACACUGACACUGAUGAGCGAAAGCCAGGGGAGCAAACGGG